CAAGGGAAAUUCAUGGGGUGGGCUUGACAAAAUCUUGUGCUUCUGAGCUCAGCAAUGAAGUUUUAAUCACCCCAAUAUACAUCUUUCCACGAUAUAUAUUUUUCUGUCUACCAAAGACAUAAUGGCUGCUCCUUUUAUGGGAAACCAGGAUUUAAUCCAGCAAACAAAAUGACAGAAUCAGAGACCAGUGUCCUGCUCUGGGCUGGUCAGAGAGCACCUUGGAAUAAAGGGAGCAGAACACUGGCAGCAGAAAGGAGAGGAGCAGUGCCAGUGAGGAGACAGCUGGGAAAAGCUGCAGGAGGAAAUGGCAAAGAGCAUCCAUGUGGUGCUGGUGAGCCUGGGGCUGAGCACAGACAGGGACAAACCCCUGGGAAAUGUGGCACUGGACCAGAGAGGGACAAACCCCUGGGAAAUGUGGCACUGGACAAGUAAGGGACAAACCCUGGGAAAUGUGGCACUGGACCAGACAGGGACAAACCCUGGGAAAUGUG
rnacentral:lncRNA from 1 species